rnacentral:rRNA from 1 species
UGCGUAGGCGGUCGUGCAAGUCGGAUGUGAAAUCUCAGGGCUCAACCCUGAAACUGCAUUCGAUACUGCGCGGCUAGAGUGCUGGAGGGGAGACUGGAAUUUACGGUGUAGCAGUGAAAUGCGUAGAUAUCGUAAGGAAGACCAGUGGCGAAGGCGAGUCUCUGGACAGCAACUGACGCUGAGGCACGAAGGCCAGGGGAGCAAACG